AGAGUGAGGACGGUUCGAGAGAGUACUCCAGGGCAGAACGAUCCGCUCUUUUGUGUCUGGAACUGUGUGCUUCUGGUGCUGCGUGCUUCUUUUCCUCUUGCUGUAGGUUAUGUAUCGGAUGGCUUCCCCGCAUGGCGACGGGGCUACAAUUGCCCCCGCUCUCUCUCCCUCUCUCUGUGUGCCAAAGGAAAUCAUAUGAUUGACGCGAAAAAGACGCAAAGAUGAAAUAGCAACAGGCGUGAAAGGGUGCGCCCUGCGUCCCCAAGCCCCUCCAGACCACCUAGGAAAUCAUUCCCGGCCCUCGGAUGAAAUCAGGGUUUUUGCAGGUUUUUGAGUUAACGAAUUUUUCACAACUUUAAAAUGUUUGUUUUUUCGAACAAGAAGAGAAAAAGCGUAGAAAAGUAAGAAAAGCAGCAUUUUUUGUUACAAACAACGUGAUUGUUUCGUGGUAGUAGGCCAGGUGUAUCUAGCCGGUGUGCAAGUUGGACAGUUGGAGAGUUUAAGUGUAGGAGAGGGAGAGAGAAAGAGAGCAAACAAACGUCUCUCGUUUUGUUGGGCUCCGUGGGAAAAGGGUGCGCAAAGAAAGAGACGGAGAACUUACGGACACUUUCAAGUUCAAUGUCGCGCUUACUGGCGAGUACAUGCGGCGGGGUACCGUUGCAGAAUUUUCACGCGUAAACUAAGGUUGCUCACACACAGAUGGAUAGCAGAAUUGUCGUUGAAGUCUUACAGAAAUAUUGAAGUUGAGGGAUUGAAUGAAAGGUUGACGGACCUAGAAGAAUUCCAGAAAAUACAGCUUGUUGUGCUAACAUGGCUAAGAUGCAAACUUCUUCUUUUGUACAACAACCAUGUCGGUCAAGGCCUACCAGUACCCAAUAAAUAGUGAAGUGGGCUUGGCUUUCAGUGACUUUAAUGGUAUCAUAGCAGGAUAGUCAAUUCUACACGUAUGGGGGCACGAUCUAUUCGGGGCUUGAAUCCAUGAAGGGCAUGUUGUUAAGUCAUAUGAGUUGACGACUGUACCACCAGACUAGCCUCAAGAUGCGAAGUUGAUGCUGAUCUUGAGAAAACAGCAUUAUACAAGGUUACAACUCUCCGUGCUUGGCUUCAAACUAAUUCCUACAGCCAGACUGUACCACCAGACUGGCCUCAAGAUGCGAAGUUGAUGCUGAUGUUCAGAAAACAGCAUUAUCUAAAGUUACAACUCUCCGUGCUCGGCUUCAAACUAAUUCCUACUGCACCUGUUUCACCUGAUCCUGCUCCCCAAGCUCACAGCGCACCUCUUCACACAGUGCGAAACAGGACAAGCGUCCUACAGACUGAGGCUUGAGUCUGGCAUUAACUGAAGCACAUACACUGUCACUAGAAUUCAAUGAUUGAAGUAUACAAACAUCCAACAUCGACUCAGGAUCUUAGUAGACGUUGCCUGGCAAAUCUCUGGAAUUGGAAAAUAUCUAAAACUCGACAUCCCGCAACGACGCAAAAUCAAGAGGAUCUCGAGAUCCUGAUAGGUGGCGUGCAUCUCUCUGCCAAGAGUUGGUACCUGGACAUCGACGGACAGUCUCGAAGGCCUUAAAACUUGUUUGUUUGUAAAAUGUUGUGCUUGAAUUAAGAACCCUACUCACCAUCUUUCAUCAUCCUGCCGAUAAUUCAAAAAGCCACGCGAAUAUCACUCUCGCCCGUGCUUAUUCGGAACAGCCGAUCAUUCGCAUGAGCGUGCCCGGUUCGUGUCUUGCUCAAUUCAAUUCCAAGCCUUAUGUAAUUGUAACAAAAAGGAAACCUCCUCCAGAGAUGAUGCCCGGCAGCGUUGCACGGCGAAGGUUAAAGGCAUGAUCCCGUAACGGAAAAGAAAAACAACUACAACAACCCCGUUAUCAGCUGUUUCGACGAUCGGCGGCGAAGCUCGACGAUCUCGCGUUUGUACGGUGGCCUGCGAGUCUCAAUGUGACUUUAGUGCGUCCCCGAGGGUUGUGGGAUGAGAAACAUUAUUAUGUUUACCAUUUUUUUUUUCACCGCAAAGCAUGCUACGCCCGUCGUCGAUCCGUGUACGUCACUGGCGGGAAUGUGUUUGGAAAACUUUCCUGCAUGUUUCCCUGUGUGCAUGGGGGUAGAAGAGAUGAGUGCAAUCUACGUAAAAGGCGCGAAAGGAAGGACGGUUGGGGGAUGAAUCCAUAUGCAAAGUUCACUGCUAAGCGAAUACCACGAUUUGACGUCAGCGACUGAGGAUGUUUAAACAUGAAUGAGGUGGUUAGUGAAUUUCAAAUCAAUCGGCAAAUUUAAUAUUCAAUAUGUUAUGUGUCCCGAAGAGGGGACUUCCCGAAAUCUAACUUCCUUUCAAUACCACUGCAUAUUCCAUCCCGAACGUCCACUUGCCACUGUGGCCGUUAAAUGGCAUUGGAUUAGCUCGACUGCUGGCCACGCAGUCAAUUGUGCUGCACAUCGUACGAUGGGGUGUGUGAGUGUGUGUGUGUUUGUACCAUUAUUAUCAUGUUAAUCAACGGCUUUAAGAACAGGCGGUAGCAAAAAGCAAAACGAGAAAAAAACAACAUUGUCCCUACGAUGAGAUGCGCCGAAAUUGGAGUGGAGUCCGGUGAUCAUCUGUAGUCGGCGUGACGCGCCGGCCAAGCAGAAUCAGCUGUUGCUGCAAGCUAUCACACCAUACCGAAGUAUGACGGUGAUAGUGGUGGUGGUAUACUGAUAUGUUGUUGAUGUUCUUCCUGGUCUGUCGCGUUAGUCCACAGCAGCAGCAGCAGCGGCAGCAGCAGUUAAAGUUACCAGCCGUCUCCAUCGAGCAGACGUAGUAAUUAAAGUAGCUCGCAACUCGAGCAUACAAACACAUACACACACUCUCUCUCUCGAACGUCGUACCUUAUGUCCGAUGCGUCCUCGCCAACGGACUUGACCUUAGCAACGGUAUAGUAACCAACGCAUCUUACCCAGGGUUACCAGUGGCUCUAUCUCCUCCUUCCUCUUCGCUCGAUGUGUGUACUUGCCGUGCUGUUUUUGGCUUAUCAGCGCUGGAUUCGUUGACGGGACGCCUCGCUCUUUUUAUUGCUUCUUUUUUUGGAGGAGUCUACUUUUAGUGCGAUAAAGGUGCAAUUUUGGGGGACUACCAUCCGAUAAUUGCAGUUCAGGGAGCGGUUCAGUGUAGGGCACAGGACAAAAAAAAGACGCUUGAUAACGCAAAUAAAUCUGUAACGACGCGCUGUAUGGGAUGGAAUGAUUGAUUUCAUCCCAUUUGCUUCAAAUAAAAUGCCGUUUAUUAUUGAUACUUUCAUCUGGAAAUUAGAGCCUCCCUUAGCAUGCAUGAAGCCUGUAGAUUGGUAAUUUGUAGGAAAUAAUUUACAAACAUUCGUUUCUUACGACACAUUCUGAAGCCUGGAAUAUCACCGGUUUUUAAACUAGUAAAACAAAUAAAAUAAGUGCAACUUUCAUGUAUUUUA